GUAACCUAUGAACUGUAACCUUUCACCCCAAGACAUCACUGACGGUUCUGUUUCUAUGGUUACACACCACAACCCCAUCAGCACAGUGCCUUUACUUUCUUCCUUAGUUUAUUACAGGAGGACAAAUAUGUAUUUAUGUUUAUGUUUCACUUUAUGUUUCAAUAAUUAGCUAACCGUUAAAGAAGAGCCACCCUGAUUUGCAUCCUUGAUGUAAAUUCAGAAGAAUACAUAGAGCUUGAAAAAGUUUCCAUGAUGCUAAUUUUACAAGAAUGCUGGAGUGGUCUUCAAACAAAAAGAUGAGGACCAUAACUUCCCCAGGUGGCAAAGUUAAGACUGUGACUGUGAGGAGAACAGUGUCAUUGGAUGCACAUGAGAUCAAUAGCCUGAUCACUUCUGCCACAGUACCAGUAUUUGGAAGAGUAAAUGUCAUUCGUCUACUAGAGAAGGCUAAUCUGGCAGUGACCCUGAACAAUGCAAAGAAUGAGGUGCUGGCCCAUACUGACUUCUCUGUUCACCCCAUUGGAGACAUUGUGGAUCAAGCUUUUUGGGAACCAUUCGACAGCCUCUGAACACACUCUUCCUGCACCUCUUUUACAGCCCAGCUGAUCUUCUCCAUCGGGAGUGCCAAAGAGAUUGUAAGGUAUUGGAGAUGAUGAAUGUUUUCAAUGUAUGGUAUGAAAUCAGCAAAAAACUGAGUGGCAGAGUGAGCAGCACUAAUAAGUGUUGGCAUGGCAUUGCUCAUAAUCAUGUAACAAGCCCUUUUAUAACAUAGGCUCAAAAAUAUAACAUGAUGAAAUGUUAUAUUUAAUAAUAAGACUGUUUGAUUCCUGUUUGUGAUACAGCAGUCUGACAUUC